GAUGAACGCUGGCGGCGUGCCUAAUACAUGCAAGUCGAGCGAACAGACGAGGAACUUGCUCCUCUGACGUUAGCGGCGGACGGGUGAGUAACACGUGGAUAACCUACCUAUAAGACUGGGAUAACUUCGGGAAACCGGAGCUAAUACCGGAUAAUAUAUUGAACCGCAUGGUUCAAUAGUGAAAGACGGUUUUGCUGUCACUUAUAGAUGGAUCCGCGCCGCAUUAGCUAGUUGGUAAGGUAACGGCUUACCAAGGCGACGAUGCGUAGCCGACCUGAGAGGGUGGUCGGCCCCACUGGAACUGAGACACGGUCCAGACUCCUACGGGAGGCAGCAGUAGGGAAUCUUCAGCAAUGGGAGAAAGCCUGACGGAGCAACGCCGCGUGAGUGAUGAAGGUCUUCGGAUCUUAAACCUCUGUUAUUAGGGAAGAACAAAUGUGUAAGUAACUAUGCACGUCUUGACGGUACCUAAUCAGAAAGCCACGGCUAACUACGUG
rnacentral:rRNA from 1 species